AGGGGUAAACCUGUGGUUCCCGAAAGUUCGAACGGGGAGAUUCAAUUGCCUCGCCGGUUAUGACCAUUUAACAGUGAUGUGUUUAUAUAUAUAUUAGAGACAUUAUAUGGCGGUUGCGGGUUUAUUCUCGUAGCUGUUUCUGUGUAGUGCUCCACUGUUUUAUGAUAUAUAGUUUAUAGCCGGAGGCGUGCACUUCUCCCCUUGUAGGACGUCGUGACCCAUUGGAUUAUGUUGUCUAAGGCUUAUAAUGGAGACCGUGGCAUUAAGUUUCGGCUUUAAUGACCCGGACUUAUGAUGUCCCGACAUCUAUCCGAUGGUAUAAUUAUGAUGAUAGAUCGCUAUAAAUGCGUACGAGCGUUCAGAUCCAUAACAAAUUCUUUAUAUGUUAAUAAUAGUGGAAAUCGGAUUUAACGCCGGUUCUACACAUAUGGUAUUGAUAGUUAUGGUAUUCUCGAACCGUUCUUUAUCAUCAGUCAACGGCGUUUAUGUUUUGGGUAAUUACAGGACCCGUCUUGAAACACGGACCAAGGAGUCUAGCAUGUUCGCAAGUCAUUGGGWCUUUGUGAAACCUAAAGGCGUAAUGAAAGUGAAAUAUUUGUGAAUUUUCGUAAUUCACUGAAUUUAAGGGAAGAUGGGUAACGAUAUU
rnacentral:rRNA from 1 species